rnacentral:misc_RNA from 1 species
AGUAGAUGACCUGUGUCCAUCGCUGUCUGCGUGUUCUGUGCGUGUAUUUAUGUGUGUGUGUGUCCAUCCUUCGAGAGAGGGGGUUCAAGGGUACCUCGCCUGCCUCCUCAUCGCAAAUUAACGCGGGCCGUUGUUCGCGACCGGUUACCCAGCUGAUCGGAGUGAGUUCAGUAAUUACAGGCUGCGCCCGCGACCGUCGACUCACACACACGCAACGACGGAGAAAGGGCGCGCGCGAGAAGGGAGGAAGGACAGGUUCCUAGCUGGGAUAUAAAGCCGUGUGUUCGUUACUGGUUACGGCAGAAAGCGACACGAUAGAUAAACGAGGAGUACGACGCACGCAUGCAGGCGCGGUGUCGGACGUUGACUCGUGUGACAUAGUGUGUGGAUACGAGUGGAGUACAUUUUAGCAACGCUUUCUCGUGCCGUGCGUGUCUGUGUAUGUGUGUGAACACACGUGGUUGGCUGGCUGUUCGUCUUUCCUUCGCUAUACGUGCUCGAGCGGUCUAAACAGUACGACACGUCGACGAGGACAGUGUAAUUAAGUGUUUAUACAACAAGAUCAGCAGCGGCGGUGGAGGAGGAUAGAUGGAGGGAUACAGCAUGAUGGAGGAGCUGGAGAAACGGCUCGAGACCGCUAGAGACUAUGACAGCAGGAGGAAAAUCAGAUCCAGGAUACGAGAGCUAAAGAAAAUAAUAGGCAGUGAUAGUACAUGCGCGCCCUCUGUGAGCGAGCUGCACAUCCAGCUGAAGGGCUCUCCAAUGACGAAGUCCGACAAUCUGUCAUUGUCAACGUAUCACGUGGACAGCAUCACGGACUCCGGUCGAAGACAAGACGUGACGUCACGGAUCAACACAGUUGUGACACCUGGAGGUUCGCAGGUGAUGCAGCAGCGGACCAUGAUGCUGUCGCAGAAGAUGACAAAUAGCGGCUCCAGCUGUCUGGAGCGCGACACGAUAUUGUCAAAAUACAGGAUAACUCCCGCUGGUUCCGAGCAGACGUCGAUGAAUGUGAUUCACACGACGCGACUGAAGAGCCCCGCAGGCACGAAACGCGUGGAAGGAGAGAGUUACCAGACCAAGGAGCGUCUAUCACCCGGGGGCACGCAAACACAGCACGUCUGUGAAGUACAGCUGCAGUACAGGGACCGCGGCAGCAGCAGUCCGGUGUCGGUGUCGCCACCUAGAGGACAGAUGGUGACCAAGGGCAGCAAGGUUAAGCGCCAUCAGUCCAUCCUAUCCAAGAGAGUUGGGGACGAAAGGUCGAGGCGGGAAGUUAUCGCCAAGGCGAGCAGCGGCUACAGCAGCGGCAGCGCCUCAGAUGAGGACUCCUUCCUGCCGGACUCCCCCGACCCCAUCGAUGCCUCCCUCAUCCGCUCGCUCGAGCAGGACUUCCUCAGCACUCUAAACUACAGCCUGGACGCCGACGACUCGCUAGGUGGCGCCACCGAUGCGACGCCGGAUGCAGCCGACGCGACCGGUCCCGCCAGGCGGAGCUCCAGCUCCGGGAGUUGUGCUUCGACCGGCGUCGACGACGACGAUGACGGCGGUGACGGCGACGACGAUGAUGACGACGAUGAUGACGACAAUGAUGACGAAAACAGAGAAAGCCAAGCUUCUCCGUCGCUCCGUCCGGAGGAGGAGCAGUCGCAGCGCCAUCUCGCGGCAGCGAGCGCCGAUGCCGACGUCUUCGUGUCGUCGAUCUCGCGGACUGCCGAGCAGGUGGCGCCCUCUCGCCCGCCGCGCACGAAGAAGCACCGCCCGCCGCCACUCGACCUCAAGCGUCGGCUCGGGGACCGAGACAACCCGUUCGCAACAACGGGCGCCUCCCCACUGCGCGCCGACGACGUCGACAGCCGUGCCUCCGUACCCGGCGGCGGCGACGACGUCGCAGAGGAGGUGGCCGACGACCAGGAGAACCCGUUCUGCGUCAUCGUUGAGCCGACGCUCGGCAGCGGGGUCGUGCGCGGCGGCGUCGCCCCGACAAUGCUGAGUAUCGUCUGCCCCGUGACGCUGCCCAGCAACGACGCAGACGAUACCGACGAUGACGAUGAUGUGCCGACGCCAGACGCCGGAAGCGUCGGCAUGACGUACGCCUCGCACGCGGAGACGAUCGUGUCGUCGGCUCGCGCGCCGCCGACGUCCGCGAGCGACGUGACAUCACGAUCCUUCACGUCCGACACGAUCCACGUGACGACCAGCGCUGCGCGUACGGUGGCGCCAUCUGGCGUGAACGGUUACGAGGAAACGAGUGGCGGUACGCGAGGUGCGGAGAAAGCGGGGCUGGUCAUAGAAGAGUUGCCCGGAGACGUGCACGAGCUACCUUCAGCCAGAGUUGGUGGAAGCAAUAUGGCGGAGUUGGAGAUUAUACGUGUGCGGGACGAGGUAGAAGAGGUUUCCAUUAGCAACGAUGAGAUCGAGGAAGAAAUCAUACAGGUGGCGGAGGACGAAGAAGAAGAAGAAGAAGAAGAAGAAGAAGAAAAGGAUGAGUUCACGUGGUGGGAGUUGUACUCGAUCUCGGACGGGAAGGAGCAGAAGAAGAUGGACAGUCUUUGGAAGGUUAACGACAUCAACCAGCUUGAGAACAUGCUGGUCGGAGCUCAGGACUUCGAGACGCGACGCGUGAUCCGCUCUCGUCUGCAGGAGGUGAAGAGGAAGCACAAGGACGAGAGGGAGGCGAUGAUGAGGAAGAAUAACCAGAGUCUACAGCUUCGCAGUGCUCCUCAACCCUUCGAAGGAAUGCAGCAGCAGCACAUGCAGGCAGAGGCUGAGUGGAGAAGGCAGGCAGAACUGAGUGGCUUUGAAGACAUGGCGAUGGGCAACCCCUUAGGAGCCAAUAGACAAGUCAUCCACGAGACAAGAACCGGUCCAGGUGGCACCACCGUCAUGUCAACUAGGAACACCUUCACUACACACAACCCCAACGUACGGAGCUAUCACAACGUGUUACUGCAGGACACGAGGGCCGUCACAAACACGGGAAACGUCGUUGACUACUCGCACUUGCAAUCUCCCGACGAUGCGGAACAUUUGGUACAGCGCCUGUCAGGACUGGGAGACAGGGAUGGCAGUGGCUCGGUCACCAUAACCAGAACGCAGACAAGCAUGGUGAAUGGAAAAUCUUCAACCGAAACCAGCACGAAAACGCAUAGCUUUGGUAAUCCAGCUGGUGGAAAUCAAGCUAGGUUAGCAUUCCAAAAGUUGGAUGCUGUGAGCAAUCCGAAACCAAUGAGAGGCGCCACCAUAAGGAAUGAUGUGAAGGCCGUGAAAGCUGAACUGCUAGAUUACUGUCAAUCGAACACGCAGGAAUAUGACAGCGACCAGGUCAAUCACUCUUGGUGGGAGCACCCCGGGAGUGUUUAAUGCAAAUACCGCCAAAGAACAGCUGCUCUACUGGUGCCAGGCAAAGACGACAGAGUAUCCUGUCGAAAUAACGAAUUUCUCGAGCAGCUGGGCGAAUGGAGUCGCAUUCUGUGCGCUGGUGCAUCACUACUUCCCUCGAGCGUUCGAUUUCGG